GAUUUCAACUGAAAAAGUUAUCAACAACAAAGUUGAAUAACUCAUUAAGAUCUAAAACUUUUAUUUUAAUCAUUUCUUCAUCCGACAAAGUGAUAGUAACAUUGUUCACAAAAAUUGACAUAUCUCUUAUCUGGUUUUAUAAACUAUAACACAUAUAUGUAAAAUUUGUGAACAAUUUAACUAACAGUUUAUCGGAUGAAGAAAUGACAAAAAAAGUUUUAGAUCUUUAUGAGUUAUACAAUUUUGUUGUUGAUGACUUUUUCAAUUGAAAUC
rnacentral:pre_miRNA from 1 species